CAAACUGGAGAUGGCGACCGGCGCACGGGUGAGUAACACGUAUCCAACCUGUCGAUAACUCGGGGAUAGCCUUUCGAAAGAAAGAUUAAUACCCGAUGGCAUAAUAGAACCGCAUGGUUGAUUAUUAAAGAAUUUCGGUUAUCGAUGGGGAUGCGUUCCAUUAGGCAGUUGGUGGGGUAACGGCCCACCAAACCUUCGAUGGAUAGGGGUUCUGAGAGGAAGGUCCCCCACAUUGGAACUGAGACACGGUCCAAACUCCUACGGGAGGCAGCAUG
rnacentral:rRNA from 1 species